rnacentral:rRNA from 1 species
GAUGAACGCUGGCGGCGUGCUUAACACAUGCAAGUCGAACGGAAAGGCUCCUGCUUGCAGGGGUACUCGAGUAGCGAACGGGUGAGUAACCCGAGAGCGAUCUGCCCUGCACUUAGGGAUAAGCCUAGGCAACUGGGUCUAAUACCGGAUAGGACGAUGGUUUGGAUGCCAUUGUGGACAGUUAUUUCGGUGUGGGAUGAGCUCGCGGCCUAUCGGCUUGGUGGUGGGGUAAUGGGCUACCAAGGCGUCGACGGGUAGCCGGCCUGAGCGGGUGGACGGCCACAUUGGGACUUAGAUACGGGCCAGACUCCUACGGGAGGCAGCAGUGGGGAAUAAUGCACAAUGGGAGCAAGACUGAUGCAGCGACGCCGCGUGGGGGAUGACGGCCUUCGGGUUAUAAACACCGUUUGCUAGGGACGAAGCGCAAGUGACGGUACCUGGAGAAGAAGCACCGGCUAACUACGUG